rnacentral:rRNA from 2 species
GGACGAACGCUGGCGGCGUGCCUAAUACAUGCAAGUAGAACGCUGAAGAGAGGAGCUUGCUCUUCUUGGAUGAGUUGCGAACGGGUGAGUAACGCGUAGGUAACCUGCCUUGUAGCGGGGGAUAACUAUUGGAAACGAUAGCUAAUACCGCAUAACAAUGGAUGACACAUGUCAUUUAUUUGAAAGGGGCAAUUGCUCCACUACAAGAUGGACCUGCGUUGUAUUAGCUAGUAGGUGAGGUAAUGGCUCACCUAGGCGACGAUACAUAGCCGACCUGAGAGGGUGAUCGGCCACACUGGGACUGAGACACGGCCCAGACUCCUACGGGAGGCAGCAGUAGGGAAUCUUCGGCAAUGGGGGCAACCCUGACCGAGCAACGCCGCGUGAGUGAAGAAGGUUUUCGGAUCGUAAAGCUCUGUUGUAAGUCAAGAACGGGUGUGAGAGUGGAAAGUUCACACUGUGACGGUAGCUUACCAGAAAGGGACGGCUAACUACGUGCCAGCAGCCGCGGUAAUACGUAGGUCCCGAGCGUUGUCCGGAUUUAUUGGGCGUAAAGCGAGCGCAGGCGGUUUGAUAAGUCUGAAGUUAAAGGCUGUGGCUCAACCAUAGUUCGCUUUGGAAACUGUCAAACUUGAGUGCAGAAGGGGAGAGUGGAAUUCCAUGUGUAGCGGUGAAAUGCGUAGAUAUAUGGAGGAACACCGGUGGCGAAAGCGGCUCUCUGGUCUGUAACUGACGCUGAGGCUCGAAAGCGUGGGGAGCGAACAGGAUUAGAUACCCUGGUAGUCCACGCCGUAAACGAUGAGUGCUAGGUGUUGGAUCCUUUCCGGGAUUCAGUGCCGCAGCUAACGCAUUAAGCACUCCGCCUGGGGAGUACGACCGCAAGGUUGAAACUCAAAGGAAUUGACGGGGGCCCGCACAAGCGGUGGAGCAUGUGGUUUAAUUCGAAGCAACGCGAAGAACCUUACCAGGUCUUGACAUCCCGAUGCUAUUUCUAGAGAUAGAAAGUUACUUCGGUACAUCGGUGACAGGUGGUGCAUGGUUGUCGUCAGCUCGUGUCGUGAGAUGUUGGGUUAAGUCCCGCAACGAGCGCAACCCCUAUUGUUAGUUGCCAUCAUUCAGUUGGGCACUCUAGCGAGACUGCCGGUAAUAAACCGGAGGAAGGUGGGGAUGACGUCAAAUCAUCAUGCCCCUUAUGACCUGGGCUACACACGUGCUACAAUGGUUGGUACAACGAGUUGCGAGUCGGUGACGGCGAGCUAAUCUCUUAAAGCCAAUCUCAGUUCGGAUUGUAGGCUGCAACUCGCCUACAUGAAGUCGGAAUCGCUAGUAAUCGCGGAUCAGCACGCCGCGGUGAAUACGUUCCCGGGCCUUGUACACACCGCCCGUCACACCACGAGAGUUUGUAACACCCGAAGUCGGUGAGGUAACCUUUUGGAGCCAGCCGCCUAAGGUGGGACAGAUGAUUGGGGUGAAG